rnacentral:tRNA from 1 species
GCCUGGGUGGCUCAGUUGGUUAAGUGUCUGACUUUAGCUCAGGUCAUGAUCUCCCAGUCCGUGAGUUCAAGCCCCGCAUCAGGCC